CACGGAGUUAGCCGGUCCUUAUUCUUACGAUACCGUCAAGCUGCUUCACGAAGCAGUGUUUCUUCUCGUAUAAAAGCAGUUUACACACCAUAGAUGCUUCAUCCUGCACGCGGCAUGGCUGGUUCAGGCUUGCGCCCAUUGACCAAUAUUCCUCACUGCUGCCUCCCGUAGGAGUCUGGUCCGUGUCUCAGUACCAGUGUGGGGGAUCUCCCUCUCAGGACCCCUACCCAUCGUUGCCAUGGUAAGCCGUUACCUUACCAUCUAGCUAAUGGGACGCAUGCCCAUCUUUCACCGUUGGAACUUUAAUAUAUAAACCAUGCGAUUCAUAUAUACUAUAAGGUAUUAAUCCAAAUUUCUCUGGGCUAUCCCUUUGUGAAAGGUAGGUUGCAUACGCGUUACGCACCCGUGCGCCGGUCUCUUGGUAGCAAGCUACCAAUACCCCUCGACUUGCAUGUGUUAAGCCUGCCGCUAGCGUUCAUCCUGAGCCAGGA
rnacentral:rRNA from 1 species